UACGGAGGGGGCGAGCGUUGUCCGAAGUUACUGGGCGUAAAGCGCGUGUAGGCGGGUUGUCAAGUCCGCUGUGAAAGCCCGAGGCUCAACCUCGGAGGGUCGGUGGAUACUGGGGGACUUGAGUGCAGAAGAGGAAAGUGGAAUUCCACGUGUAGCGGUGAAAUGCGUAGAGAUGUGGAGGAACACCAGUGGCGAAGGCGACUUUCUGGUCUGUAACUGACGCUGAGGCGCGAAAGCGUGGGGAGCAAACAGG
rnacentral:rRNA from 1 species